UACGUAGGUCCCGAGCGUUGUCCGGAUUUAUUGGGCAUAAAGCGAGCGCAGGUGGUUUAUUAAGUCUGGUGUAAAAGGCAGUGGCUCAACCAUUGUAUGCAUUGGAAACUGGUAGACUUGAGUGCAGGAGAGGAGAGUGGAAUUCCAUGUGUAGCGGUGAAAUGCGUAGAUAUAUGGAGGAACACCGGUGGCGAAAGCGGCUCUCUGGCCUGUAACUGACACUGAGGCUCGAAAGCAUGGGGAGCAAACAGG
rnacentral:rRNA from 1 species